rnacentral:rRNA from 1 species
GACGAACCGUGCGAACGUUAUUCGGAAUCACUGGGCUUAAAGCGCGUGUAGGCGGGAGGGCACGUCCGUUGCUGAAAUCCCCCGGCUCAACCGGGGAACGGGCGCGGAUACGACUCUCCUUGAGGGGCGUAGGGGGACCUGGAACUUCCGGUGGGGCGGUGAAAUGCGUUGAGAUCGGAAGGAACGCCCGUGGCGAAAGCGAGGUCCUGGACGCCUACUGACGCUGAGACGCGAAAGCCAGGGGAGCGAACGGG